rnacentral:rRNA from 1 species
GCGAAAACUUUACAAUGCUGGCAACAGGGAUAAGGGAACCUCGAGUGCCAGGUUACAAAUCUGGCUGUCGAGAUGCCUAAAAAGCAUUUCAUAGCAAGGGCCGGGCAAGACCGGUGCCAGCCGCCGCGGUAACACCGGCGGCUCGAGUGGUAACCGUUAUUAUUGGGUCUAAAGGGUCUGUAGCCGGCCGGAUAAGUCUCUUGAGAAAUCUGGCAGCUUAACUGUCAGGCUUUCAGGAGAUACUGUCUGGCUCGAGGCCGGGAGAGGUGAGAGGUACUUCAGGGGUAGGGGUGAAAUCUUGUAAUCCUUGAAGGACCACCAGUGACGAAGGCGUCUCACCAGAACGGACCUGACGGAAAGGGACGAAAGCUAGGGGCACGAACC